rnacentral:rRNA from 1 species
UUUAAAAUGAGAGUUUGAUCCUGGCUCAGGAUGAACGCUGGCGGCGUGCCUAAUACAUGCAAGUCGAACGCUUUGUCUUUAAUUGAUAUGAAGAGCUUGCUCUGAUUUGAUUUUAUCUGACAAAG